rnacentral:rRNA from 1 species
AGAGUUUGAUCAUGGCUCAGAUUGAACGCUGGCGGCAUGCCUAACACAUGCAAGUCGAACGGUAACAGAUAAGAUGAUCUCUUCGGAGUGAAUCUUUGCUGACGAGUGGCGGACGGGUGAGUAAUGCUUGGGAAUCUGCCCAAUAGUGGGGGAAAACUCGGGGAAACCCGGGCUAAUACCGCAUAAUCUCUACGGAGGAAAGAGGGCCUCUACAUGUAAGCUCUCGCUAAUGGAUGAGCCCAAGUCAGAUUAGCUUGUUGGUAAGGUAAUGGCUUACCAAGGCUACGAUCUGUAGCUGGUCUGAGAGGACGACCAGCCACACUGGGACUGAGACACGGCCCAGACUCCUACGGGAGGCAGCAGUGGGGAAUAUUGCACAAUGGGCGCAAGCCUGAUGCAGCAAUGCCGCGUGUGUGAAGAAGGCUCUAGGGUUGUAAAGCACUUUCAAUAGAGAAGAAAAGCUUGAAAUUAAUACUUUCAAGCCUUGACGUAACCUAUACAAGAAGCACCGGCUAAUUCCGUGCCAGCAGCCGCGGUAAUACGGGAGGUGCGAGCGUUAAUCGGAAUUACUGGGCGUAAAGCGAGCGUAGGCUGUUAAUUAAGUCGAAUGUGAAAUCCCCGGGCUCAACCUGGGAACUGCAUCCGAAACUAUUUAACUAGAGUAUGGGAGAGGAAAGUAGAAUUUCCGGUGUAGCGGUGAAAUGCGUAGAUAUCGGAAGGAAUACCAGUGGCGAAGGCGGCUUUCUGGAACAAUACUGACGCUGAGGUUCGAAAGCGUGGGGAGCAAACAGGAUUAGAUACCCUGGUAGU